UUCUAAUUGUUAUUAUUGUAAAGAGACACAACAGAUUUUUGUAUUGAUCUUGUAUCCUGCAACUUUACUAGUUUGUUUACUAGUUUUAAGAGUUUUGUGGUAGAGUAUUUUGGAUUUUCUUGAAAUAAAAUAUCAUAAAUUUAAAAAACAAAUAAAUAAAAUAAAAUAUAAUUAUCUGAGCCUCAUCCCUGGAGAUUUUGAUUUAAUUCAACUGGGGUGGAGUCUGGCCAUAGAAACUUAAAACAACAACAACAAUAACAACAACAACAAAAAAACAACCCUUCCAGGGUUUGAUUUUUCUCUGUGCAUACGAUGUGCCGUAACCAUUGGUCAAAUCUGCUUCUAUUCUUCUAAUAUGUAAAAAAUUGAGUCAUUAAUGUUCUUUAGUCAUUUGAUUCCAAUUCCACUUGAAAAAAUAUUUGAAAAAGGCACUGCAGUCUUUACUGGAAACAUAGGACAAAACUGUAUUUUUCAUUUAUUGGCAAAAAAGGAGUGGUUCUGGGAAUCUUAGGAUUUAAAAGAAAAACGUUUCUAAUGUUGCAAAGACUCAAAAGUAACCAUCUACCAAGACUGGAACUCGCGGUGGUCUAGCCUUGUGUUUCCCAACUGAGUGCUGACAAAACAAAUGCCUUCCAUCACAGGGUUGUUGAGACCAAAGAAGUCACCCUGCCUGGGUUUGUGGCCUGGCAGUACCAGUUUUUAUGAUACAGUCCUGACAGAUUGCUUGACCUCUCCAGACUCUAGUCACCUCAUAUGGAAAACUGGGAUGAUGAAAGAACCAAGCUCACGGGUUGCCGUGAAAAUUAAAUAGGUUAAUGAAUUAAAGUCUUCGAACAGUGAAUAAGUGUUUGCUAUUCUUAUCACUACAAUGACGGGGAUGUAUUAUCAAGUCAUCUCCAGUUUAAUGAGGUCUAGAUGGAGACUUCCUGUGCAUUUCCCAGAGGAGAAAACCUUCAAAGGAGGUUGAUGUCACGAGUUUUAUAAUUUACCUUGGAACUCAUUUAUGAGGACUGUGCAUUCUCAAGUCUCCUGAAAGUUGAAUGAGCUGCAGUUAGAGAGACUGUAUGAUAACUGCAGAGGGGCUAAAAAAUAGUCAAUUCUUCCUAAAUAAAACAUUGCAGUUGCUAUUAAAUAUAGUGCAAGAUCCUAGGACAUUUUAUGACCAAAAAGACUUUUUUUUUUUUGGCCGAAUCCGAGGUACAUGGAAGUUCCUGGACCAGGGAUCAAACUCAAUGCCACAGCAUCGACCAGAGCUGCUGCAGUGACACCACCAGAUCCUGAAUCUGCUGAGCCACAAGAGAAGUCCAAGAAGGCAUUUUUAAGAGUUGAUAUCUACAGUAUGAUUUGUUAGCUUUUCAUUGAACACUCAACCAGCUGCUCUGAACUUUUUCUUUUUUGAAGAAUGUCAUUCACACUGUGUGUUUUUCAAACCGUAUCCCAAGGCUUUGGAAUUAAAAGUACAGAGAACAUUAAAUGUGGGUGUUGAGUACAGUCAAAUAGGAUGAGCAGACUUUGGAAUGUGAACUAGGCAAUGUCUUUUAAAAAUGACAUGCAUUCAUGUAAGAAUGUAUUCUGAUCCUUAGGAUGGACAAAAUUUUUGUCUGUACCAAAAAUAUAUCAUUUGGCAGGAUGGGCUUAUUGUUUGCAAGUCAGCAGUGCGGGUGUUCCAGCCCCAAGAGCAGAUGCCCUCCAACUGUUCAGCCUGGGGUAUUCAGGGUGAUGAGAGAAAGGGGGCCACAGCGUGGACAGGUGGCUGGACACAGCCAGUCACUGCACCCCCUACCCUUCUGCUGCCUUCCAGAGCUGGAUUUCAGAUCACACUGUGUGCCAAAUUAAUAUUCUCAGCAGGGAAGGAAGGUAUCAAGUUUAUCAGUUACAUUUCUGUUAAUACUUCCAGAGUCAAGGAAAAUGUUUUAAGUGAGAGCAUUUGUCUCAGUAAAGGAGAGUACACUUAACGCAUAUACAUAUAUAUAUGAGUGUGUGUGUGUGUGUGUGUGAUGUAUUUCUUGACAGUGAAUUCAGAGACAAUGUCAUGCCAACACCACUCUAAUUAAUAGAGGGUCUUAAGUUAGAAUCAUAGAGAUUGUCACAGUCAGUGUCUUUCUAAAUGACAGAGAGAAUCAGCAAGUGAGAACAAGGAAGCUGCAGGGUCCAGAAGCUUAAACACAGGUGCCCACACAGACUCCUCAAGCUGUGUGGUAUGCGGUCAGAUCAUCAGUCUGUAGGCACACAAUGGGUGUGACUCUCCUCUUGGGAACAAUGGCCUCUGCCUGGUUUCCUUUUCUCUAAAAUGGGGCUCAUAACAUUUACAUUGUUAAAUUAUUGUCAGGAUUAAGAGACAUCAAGGCUGUCAAGUGCCAGGCAUGGAGUGUGUACUCAGUAUAACAGAUGCCUAAUACCACCAUCCUCAUCAUCAAGGUCAAGGAUGAGAAGACAAAUGGCCUUACCUAAACAAUGGAAGUUUUAUGUCUUUACGUUCUGCUUCAUUUUGCUACUUGAGUUGAUCUUGCUAAAAUCUCAAAUUUCAAGUGAUAAAUUCUGGCACUGUAAUAAGAUUAUCAUGAAGUUGCAACUCACUUGUCUAAGAGGGGGCUUCCCUGUGAGGGGGUGUGGAGAGGGAGGAGCCAUCUUCAACUUCUACUAACAAGGAAGAUAAAAUCUGAUUGUGGCAUGCACCUUUGUAAGUUGAAUCUUUUUUUUUUUUUUUUCCCAUAACAGAGCAAUUGAGGGCCAAACAUACAUUUCUUCUUCUCUUCAUAACGUUUCCUUUGAUUGCUCCUUUCGGAUCUUUCAGAGAACUUGAUGGCAGGAUAAGAAAAUAAAAGUGAAGUUCAAUGUGCAAAGUGUUGGCUUUUGAACUUCACUGCAAUGCUCUGGUUUAAUGAGCUCAAUUUAAUCUCCUCUGUGUAAGUUCCCAUAUAAGACCUUCCUUUUAUAAUUCGCUGCUGGGGGAAUUCGCUCUAUUUAUGCUAAAUAGAUGGACAGAAAUCAUGUCCAUCUUUCUGAUCACAGUAACUUCAGCGAUAACCAAGUAUGUGCCCCUUUUUUUCUGGCUACAAAGAAGCUCAGAGCAAAACUUGCUGCUCAAUCAUAGCAUAAGCAUUAAUUCGUUAAAAGUCAGAAUAUUGACUUUUUGAGUUCCUCUUUUGGAUACUUCCUUUUAAAAUUGUAUAUUAUUAUAAUCUAUCUCAAAUUUUUGAAAAGUCAUGGAGUAUAAACUUUUUAAUAAACUUGAACCAAGUCUUAUUCUUCUCCCAAUUACCACAGAUGAAUUCAAAGAGGCUUUAACAGCUAUCGCUUGACAAAAGCAAUAGGUUUCCAUCCAUGUCCACUCAUUGCCCCAUAAUUUGCUCCAGCUGCUUGUUUCAGUUUUCGUUUUUGGAAGCCACUGGACCCAGAGGUUCCAGACCAUGUGGAAACUAGCAGGCAUUAUUAUAAAUCCCCCAUAAACCUUGAUAAAGGAAAUAAUCAUCAUUCUCAUUGAGUUAUCCCCAUGAAAGAAAUUUUACUCAGACUAAUAUAGGGCCCAUAAAGAUAAUUUCUCUUGCGCUGAUUUGAAAAAUGGGCACUUCUGGAGAAGAUCAAACAGGAGUUAAGCCAGUGAAUCUAAGCUUUUGUUCUGAAAAUUAUAUUCAAAUCGAGUCAGUUCAAAUCUGAGUACUCUAUUUGUGAUGCAAAUCAAAGGCAAAAAAUGCUUCUGUUUAACAAACCAAUGCAACUGUGCAUAGCACACACCCUGGUUACCAUUUGAAAUCUCUUCUGAGAGCUGGCUAGAAGGGGGAACCAUGCAUGGAUUAACCAGAUCUGACACCAUCGUUUUCCUUCAACUGCAGGUCCCGGGCAGUGAGUUCAUAUUCGAUGUGUACGAUGUGCUUGGGAGAAUGCAAGCCCUGAGCAUCCAGGAAUGAACACAAUAGACCCUCUGCCCUCAGGGAGCUCACAAUCUUCCUGGUCUUCCUCUCUGCUCCUGGAGUUCGGCUUGGCAGAUGAAAAUAACCUUGGUAAAGGAGCUGUUCAGAAGCACAAGGCCCUGCUCGCGGCCACCAAGGGCAGCAGAGGCCCAAGUAGAAAGUCAAAUCUGCCAUUGCCCCGAGGAGCACCCAUUGUAUAAACAAAACAGACUUUCACUUCUACCACCACUUCCUCCCAAGAAAAGCAAGAAACCGGUUUUAGACUUCUGACUUCUUUUCAAAAUGGAAACAACUUUGAGUUUUCCCCUCAACCCAUGGAAUGCAAUGAACAAUAAAAUAAAACACUGGUUUGCAGACACGUCAACCCAAGGGACUGUUGUUUGUCUGAUUCGACCAUUUCAUAUGAAACAUGCAGGCUGUGCUGCUCACUCUCCAGAACAGCCUUUGUCUGUGUUUGAGUCUCUUGACACCUAGGGGUGAGCUAAUAAUCUGCAUUAACUCAAAAUACAGCAGAGAAGUGACUUGGUUAUAUUUAUUUAGUUAGUUAGUUUUAACUUGGUUAUAUUUAGAAGUGGGCAAGUGGUUGGUAUCACAGCUGGGCUGUGCGGUUUUACCAUAGGAGGAAUGUACCCACUUAGCGACCUCAGAUUUAGGGUGGGCCACCUGGCCAUCAUCAGUAGGACCCCAGGUCAAUGGACUUCAAUACUAAAGAGUAGAAUUCUGAUGUGAGUUUAGCUACCAACACCCAUAGACAUAAAAAUCUUCUUCCAAGGCCCCUUGGUCCCUUUUCUGCUGGAAAGAAUUCUAUUUUGCCGUCCAUCAAAGGAAGGAGAGCCAUUUCUAGAAUUUGAGUUCAGGUACUCAGAAUUCUAUGCAAGUCCCUAGUGCAGGUUUUUAGCUUUUCUUCCCUCUAGCUUGGUAUUUUUUAUACUGAAGAUAAAAUAGUCAAAGCAAGAUCUCACGCUGGACUGGUAGAGGAAGAGAAAGCAAUACCCGUUGGAGAUCUUUGGGAAAAGCAAUGUAUGUGGUAUUUAAAAAAAUUUUUGUUUGUUUGUUGUGUGGCACAUGGAAGUUCGUAAGCUAGGGGUUGAAUCAGAGCUGCAGCUGCCAGCUUACGCCACAGCCCCAGCAGCGCAGGAUCUGAGCCACA